AGUGAACGCUGGCGGUAGGCCUAACACAUGCAAGUCGAACGGCAGCACAGUAAGAGCUUGCUCUUACGGGUGGCGAGUGGCGGACGGGUGAGGAAUACAUCGGCAUCUACUUUUUCGUGGGGGAUAACGUAGGAAAACUUACGCUAAUACCUCAUACGACCUACGGGUGAAUGCAGGGGAUCUUCGGACCUUGCGCGAUUGAAUGAGCCGAUGUCGGAUUAGCUAGUUGGCUAGGUAAAGGCCCACCAAGGCGACGAUCCGUAGCUGGUCUGAGAGGAUGAUCAGCCACACUGGAACUGAGACACGGUCCAGACUCCUACGGGAGGCAGCAGUGGGGAAUAUUGGACAAUGGGCGAAAGCCUGAUGCAGCCAUACCGCGUGAGUGAAGAAGGCCUUCGGGUUGUAAAGCCCUGUUGUUGGGAAAGAAAAGCAGUAGAUUAAUAUAUCGCUGUUCUGACGGUACCCAAAGAAUAAGCAACGGCUAACUUCGUG
rnacentral:rRNA from 1 species